GACGAACCGUGCGAACGUUAUCCGGAAUCACUGGGCUUAAAGGGUGCGUAGGCUGGUUGCCAAGUCUGUGGUGAAAUCCUCCGGCUUAACCGGAGAACUGCCGUGGAUACUGGCGACCUCGAGUGGGGUAGGGGCUUGCGGAACUGUGCGUGGAGCGGUGAAAUGCGUUGAUAUGCACAGGAACUCCGGUGGCGAAGGCGGCGAGCUGGACCCUAACUGACGCUGAGGCACGAAAGCCAGGGGAGCGAACGGG
rnacentral:rRNA from 1 species